GACGUAGGUGGCGAACGUUAUCCGGAAUUAUUGGGCGUAAAGGAUGCGUAGAUGGUGUAGUAAGUUAUCGGUGGUAAAUCGAGGCUCAACCUCGUGGAAGUCGGUAAUACUGCUAUGCUAGAGGAUAGGAGAGGUUAACGGAACUCCCUGUGGAGCGGUGAAAUGCGUAGAUAUAGGGAAGAACACCAAUCUGGCGAAGGCAGUUAACUAUUCUAUUCCUGACAUUGAGGCAUGAAAGCGUGGGGAGCAAAACGG
rnacentral:rRNA from 1 species